UCUCUCUCUCUCUCUCUCUCUCUCUCUCUAGAACGAACAAUUAAAUAAUUUUGCUGAUCUCGAUUUGAUUGGAGCUGAGUUCUGGUUUGGGAAUUGCAGUUCGUGUGCGCUAGGAGCUCAAUUUCAGUGCGUAGAUAAUUUUUAUAUCAGAAAUAGAGAGCUUUUGGUUGUCCAUGUAUGUGAUAGGUACAUUACCUAGAUUGAUGCCCGUUGGUUCAGUUCAUAGAAAACUACAUGUUUGAUAUAAGCACGCGUAUUUGCUGUCAGUACGUUACCCAGGAGGACUAGUUUCUCCAUAGAUUAGACCAGCACAAGCUCUUGCGGGUAAUUAACUCGAGGAGCCAACCUUGCUGCAAAAAGAUGCUACUAGUAUCUUCUUUUCUGGAGUACCUAGUUAAAACCUGAUGCAACCUGGGUGUUGUGCUAUGCAAGCACUAUACCUGUUUCUGUUCAAUUCACCUCUUAAUGCCACAUUUUCUUGCCAUCAUAUUUAUUGCCACUCUGAACUUGAAUCUGAGGUUGACAGUGAAGUUGCGGUGCAUUUUCUUUCAGACCUUAGCUCACAAGAAUCGACACUGCUAUGUGGCGUGGUGGAGGUAGGGGGCUCCCGACCUUUGUUCUGGAGGAUGGGAAGACGAGGCACGCGUUCUACACACUGACCCAGUAGGGCCUCAAGUUCGAGUGCUCGAGUGGCUGUGAGAUACGGGGAAACUUGAAGAAGAUGUUGGCCAGGGCUGAAUCCGAACUCUCAGCAGCCGUGUAUUUUUUUGGCGUUAUGGCGGUGCUGUAAACACAAUAACCCAUGUUUGUAGCAAUGAAAUACCUCAACCUACCCUACAGUGUCCGCCUCAAGUGGUCGCUGUUGUGGUGACGACAGUGUUCUUCUUCGGCUAUAACCAUACUGGCUUCAUCAAACACACCAUGCAGAUCAUCUGCCGAGCACCUGGAUGACGACUCUCAGAACAUGUGCAGUAGUAUUGGCCACAGAAGACACUUAACUGAAGUUACUUGCCAAGUUUGCAUCACUCAGUCCUCACAAGCAUGCAGUGCAACUUUUCCAUAUCAUAAGCUCUAAUUUCGUGUCCACCAGGUCAAAAAAAAUUUCGUGUCUGCCCGUUUUCUUCCUGAAUUGUUAAAACUGAAGGAGGUUGGUCUGCCAAGCUUGGCGAGAAAACUGCGGAACAUAAGCACUGUAGUUCUGAAAUAGGGGAACUGAAUAGAGAUUGAAGUAAAUGGAGGCAGCAUAGGCUACUCAAGCGGCACAAAAGCUGCAGGGGACGGCUUCGAUCGCGCAGCUUGGCCAGGUGAUUUUUGAGGUGCUGCACGCUGGCGAGGUAGCGCCGGCCACCAGGACGCUCCCUCGACAGCGGCGGUGACACGAGCCACGGAGGUCUGUCGUCCGCGACGUGCUGCAAGGAGGGCAUCUCCUCGGUUGAGGGGAUCGGUGGUAUUCGGUGGUCUCUGCCUGGGCCGCCGAUUCCAGCAGCAGCUGCUCGCCGAACUCCUCCGCCCCUGAUGUGCCCGAUGGCUGGCGUCUUCGCAGGAGACCAUGGACACGCAGGAACUGGAGAGACUGGUGCAGGAGGCGUCCACGUCCUGCAGGAUCCAAAAGCUUGCUGGACCGCGCCGGGCGGCGUUGCGAGGAAUCCAUGGAGGGGAUAUCUGGUCCAUAGUGCAACGGGUCCACAAGUGUGCCCUGGACAUCACCGGUCCACAAGUGCGCCGCAACCGUGGUGGCAUGCUAUCUUGGCUUCGGCUAUAAUUCUCAGGUACAAAGUGCAUUGGAGGAGGCGGCCUCGGAGGGGAACAUCAUUGGCGACUUCCACAAGUGUACCACGGAGGUGCUCCGGUAGCUGCGGACCAUGUCUGCUUUUGGCUUCUAUUUUCUUCCAGAUGGUCUAGUCAUGUGUUCUGGUUAACAGUGUCAUUUUACUUGUUUGGCAACUAAAACGAAUUCAGGUGAGUGUAAUCUGCCUAGAAGCAUGGUCUGUGAAAUUGUUGAUGUGUUAAACUUUUGGUUUGGCAGAGAUUGUUUCUGGAUGAUCUGAAAAAUUGUUGGCUUGGUCAAAUUUAGCAUCAAAGCUUGUUCAUCAUCACCUGUAAAAGAAUUUUGCUUUGGAUGGUCGCUGAUUAGAGAAGUUGAAAAAAACCUUGUUGCCGUUACUAUAAUCUGCUAUCACAGGUGUUUGGUGGUGCUGCUAGACGUUGAGGUGGAGGAUUGAACGUAUUCUUGCAAUGGUCGCUACAGCCUGCUGCAAUAUUUGAUUGAUUGUGUGGUGGAUGUUUGGUGUUGAGUUGCUUGGGUUGGCCUGAAGGUGUGUGACUGACGGUACUGGGAAACAAUUUGUUAUCGGUUAUUUGCUGUUUGGUCUGAAAAUGCCAAUAAUCAGUACAGGUGGGUCAUGUACAAAUUUGGAAUGAAUGUUGAUCAACUUAAAUAAAGUUGCAACUGGUCCCAGAA